GGAGAGAUGACAGAGCGGCCGAUUGUGCCUGACUCGAAAUCAGGUGUGGGGCAACCCACCGAGGGUUCGAAUCCCCCUCUCUCCGCCA
rnacentral:tRNA from 1 species